GCCUUGCUAGCUCAAUUGGCAGAGCGUGAGACUUUUACCCUCAGUGCUCCUAUGUGCUCGAAGACAGAAUAAUUUCAAGAUUGCGGGUUUGACCCCUGUAUGAGGCG
rfam:Sphaerobolus stellatus SS14 unplaced genomic scaffold SPHSTscaffold_222, whole genome shotgun sequence.